rnacentral:rRNA from 1 species
UACGGAGGAUGCAAGCGUUAUCCGGAUUUAUUGGGUUUAAAGGGUGCGUAGGCGGGUUAUUAAGUCAGUGGUGAAAUCCUGCAGCUUAACUGUGGAACUGCCAUUGAUACUGAUAGUCUUGAGUCUAGUUGAGGCGAGCGGAAUGUGUAAUGUAGCGGUGAAAUGCUUAGAUAUUACACAGAACACCGAUUGCGUAGGCAGCUCGCUAAACUAUCACUGACGCUGAGGCACGAAAGCGUGGGGAGCGAACAGGAUUAGAUACCCCCGUA